NNNNNNNNNNNNNNNNNNNNNNNNNNNNNNNNNNNNNNNNNNNNNNNNNNNNNNNNNNNNNNGGGGCACGUGACUCCCCGCGGAGGGAUCCGCGGUGCCGCUGAAGCCUUUGAAAAAGAGUCCCGCCUGGGCCCGGGUCCGCGGCCGGGUUUGCGCCCUCCUUUCCCCCCCGGGCCUGGCCGAGCCGCCUCUCCCUCUCGAUCCCGGGCGGAGGGUGGAGAGCUGGAAGUCGGCUUUCUGAGACUGAUCCGGGGACGGGGAAGGAAAGGGACCGGUAGGCUGGCGAGGCGGAAGGAGACAGUUUCUGGUCGCAGUGCACCUUUUAAAGGUCCCCAUUUGUUUUGCUUUUGCUGUUUUGAAAAGUCCGCCCAAAGCAGCCCGCUCUCCGAUUGGAUACUGGUCGAGCGACUAGAACGCGGAGCAGCUGAUGCAAUCUCGAAUGCGGAUUGGCUGGCCGAUUCGUCUUCGAGCCCUCUGAUUGGCUUUUGUCUUAUCCGGGGCUUCUAUCUUCCAAGGGGCCUUAGCAACGCUGGGGCCCGGAUGGCGCAUGCGUGCAGCUCCGCAGGCAGAGGGACCUGACCCUGGGGUCCAGGCCUUGGGCGGCCGCCGCCGCGGGUCCCUGCGGUGUCCCCCUCCUGCCCCCAGAGAGCUGUGGGAGCGGCACAGCCUUUAUUCCGUGCUGCCGGAAGCCUGUUCAAAGAUGAGCAGUUCUCUAAGAAUAAAACAAGAAAGCUUGCUAAGUGGUGUUCAGUUUCCUGGUCUUGGCAGACUCUGUUCAGUACAGGAGAAAAGAAGGAUCCAAUGGUCCCAAACAGAGCCCCUUGUCCACUCAGUCCACUUACCUCUCUAAGAUAAAGGAGAUGGCGAUCAUUAAAAAAUAUUGGUCAACUGUAACUACUUGAACAUCAUCCUUUGUUUCAAAACACCUCCUUUCAACAAUGAUGAUAUUCUGGGACAGAAAAUGAUGCGAGUUUUCUCCUUUUGUUCUGUUGAUUUUUUUGGUUGGUUGAUAUUACAGCCUUUAUUUUUUCAUUUUUCACUUUUUUUUAAAUGACAGACUUUCUCCAGGCUCUAUUUUUGUGUCAUCACUUUGGUUUACUUUGCUACAGCUGUGAGUCUUAUUUAUUUAAAGGACAUUCUCCCCUAGGCACCUGUCAGCUGCCUUUCAGGCCUUCCUAAGCUUUCGUGGGGGUCACUUUCCUGCAUCAAACACCCAUACAAAAUAGGGAAUCAGGCAUCUGGCAGUCCCCAGGAAAGACUUUCAUUAUAAAAUACUUGGUCUCCUACAGCACAGUGGGAUUGGGUGACACCCUGUCCCCAGUAACCUCGUGAAGGACAGACAGGGAACUUGUUGUCCUCAGUGACAUCUGAGACAGUGAACCUAGAAGGUGGGCACAGAGCAGGAAAUAAGCAGUAGCACAGCCACAGAAACAGUGCCAUCAUUCAGUGAAUUCUUGACUUCUGAGGAGUGUCCUUCAAACCACUCAACAUUUGAGCGUCUACCUUGGAAGGAAAAUAGAGUGUGGGCAAGCAGCUCUGAACCUCCUUCCCUUCCGUACUUGGACUUCCCGAACUGAGUAAGGCGCCAAAAUUCCCUUACAAUGGUGAGAUAGAAUCUUUCUCCUCACAAGGGAAAGUAUUAAACAAUAAAUCUUAACUUUUCAUCUAACAUUUAAUGAAUAUAUAUCUGAUGCCUGGCAUGGUUCUAGGCCUCAGUGAUACAAAAAUACGUAAAAAAAAAAAAAAAGUCCCAGAAUAUGCCCUGGUACAUCGGAAGUGUAGGCAAAAGCUCUAAGCAAGAAAUCAGAACACCUGACUUUGAGACCCAGCUUUCUCACUUAAUAGAAACAGCACCUUAAAUACCUUGAAUGACGUGAGUUGUCCUGAACCUCAACUUUCCA
rnacentral:lncRNA from 1 species